rnacentral:rRNA from 1 species
GACGUAGGGCGCGAGCGUUGUCCGGAUUUAUUGGGCGUAAAGAGCUCGUAGGCGGCUUGUUGCGUCGACUGUGAAAACCCGCGGCUUAACUGCGGGCUUGCAGUUGAUACGGGCAGGCUAGAGUGCGGUAGGGGAGACUGGAAUUCCUGGUGUAGCGGUGAAAUGCGCAGAUAUCAGGAGGAACACCGGUGGCGAAGGCGGGUCUCUGGGCCGUAACUGACGCUGAGGAGCGAAAGCGUGGGGAGCGAACAGG